rnacentral:rRNA from 1 species
AGGGUUUGAUUAUGGCUCAGAACGUACGCUGGCGGCACGCCUAACACAUGCAAGUCGAACGAAGUAGCAAUACUUAGUGGCAGACGGGUGAGUAACAUGUAGGUAUCUGCCCUUUGGCCUGGAAUAACACGAGGAAACUUGUGCUAAUACCGGAUAAGUCUUUACGGAGAAAGCUUUAUGCACCAUUGGAUGAGCCUGCACUUGAUUAGUUUGUUGGUGGGGUAAUGGCCUACCAAGACUAUGAUCAAUAGCUGAUUUGAGAGGAUGAUCAGCCACAUUGGGACUGAGACACGGCCCAAACUCCUACGGGAGGCAGCAGUGGGGAAUCUUGCACAAUGGAGGAAACUCUGAUGCAGCGAUGCCGCGUGAGUGAAGAAGGCCCUUGGGUUGUAAAGCUCUUUCGUCGGGGAAGAAAAUGACUGUACCCGAAUAAGAAGGUCCGGCUAACUUCGUGCCAGCAGCCGCGGUAAUACGAAGGGACCUAGCGUAGUUCGGAAUUACUGGGCUUAAAGAGUUCGUAGGUGGUUGAAAAAGUUGGUGGUGAAAUCCCAGAGCUUAACUCUGGAACUGCCAUCAAAACUUUUCAGCUAGAGUAUGAUAGAGGAAAGCAGAAUUUCUAGUGUAGAGGUGAAAUUCGUAGAUAUUAGAAAGAAUACCAAUUGCGAAGGCAGCUUUCUGGAUCAUUACUGACACUGAGGAACGAAAGCAUGGGUAGCGAAGAGGAUUAGAUACCCUCGUAGUCCAUGCCGUAAACGAUGUGUGUUAGACGUUGGAAAUUUAUUUCAGUGUCGCAGCGAAAGCGAUAAACACACCGCCUGGGGAGUACGACCGCAAGUUAAAACUCAAAUGAAUUGACGGGGACCCGCACAAGUAGUGGAGCAUGUGGUUUAAUUCGAAGAUACGCGCAGAACCUUACCAACACUUGACAUGUUCGUCGCGACUUUAAGAGAUUAAAGUUUUCGGUUCGGCCGGACGAAACACAGGUGCUGCAUGGCUGUCGUCAGCUCGUGUCGUGAGAUGUUGGGUUAAGUCCCGCAACGAGCGCAACCCUCACUUUUAGUUGCCAUCAUUAAGUUGGGCACUCUGAAAGAACUGCCAGUGAUAAGCUGGAGGAAGGUGGGGAUGACGUCAAGUCCUCAUGGCCCUUACGUGUUGGGCUACACACGUGCUACAAUGGUAUCUACAACAGGAAGCAAGACGGCGACGUCAAGCAAAUCCUUAAAAGAUACCUCAGUUCGGAUUGCACUCUGCAACUCGAGUGCAUGAAGCUGGAAUUACUAGUAAUCGUGGAUCAGCGUGCCACGGUGAAUGCGUUCCCGGGUCUUGUACACACCGCCCGUCACACCAUGGGAGUUGGUUCUACCUUAAGGCAAGGUUUAAAACCCUUGACCACGGUAUAGUCAGCGACUGGGGUGAAGUCGUAACAAGGUAGCC